ensembl:lncRNA
GAAGGGAGAAGGAGGGUUACAUCAGCGACGAUAACAGAAAAGCUAACCCCCUUUGCCGACUGACUAGGCGAUGUGCGUUUACGUAUUCUUGUGUGAGCACCAAAAACACCAACACGUGAAUUUAGUGAAAUUCCACAGGAGAGCAACAUCAACGAGCGGAAACAUUGAUGCAGCAACAUCACCCUGUGGUACGAUCAAUGACCCUGGAAGACUCCCCGGGCAGUUAGCCUCGACGCAAGCUGGUGUCCAUUAAAAACCUUGAUAAAUUGUGUUGCAUCCAGACGACACCAGCUCGAUAUCACGGUCUUAAAGACGCUCAUGAAGCGACGGAGCACUAAAAGCACCUGAUUUACAUACUUUUUGAAUAAAAAGCAUCACACUUCCCCCGGGAAAAAAAAACACCAUCGUGAAAACAAGUUGGAUGUUCUCAGAAGUUUCCGGUUCCUCCCUCUUGAGCACAGAGACAAACGCAUUGAUGAGACACAACUGUUU